GUAGGGGGGCGAGCGUUGUCCGGGAUUUAUUGGGGCGUAAAGAGCUCGUAGGCGGCUCAGCAAGUCGGCCGUGAAAAACCUGAGGGCUCAACCUCAGGACGCCGGUCGAAACUGCUGUGGCUAGGGUCCGGUAGAGGAGAGUGGAAUUCCCGGUGUAGCGGUGAAAUGCGCAGAUAUCGGGAGGAACACCAGUAGCGAAGGCGGCUCUCUGGGCCGGCACCGACGCUGAGGAGCGAAAGCUAGGGGAGCAAACAGGAUUAGAUACCCUGGUAGUCCUAGCCGUAAACGUUGGGCACUAGGUGUGGCGGAUUCAUUGACAUCUGCUGUGCCGAAGCUAACGCAUUAAGUGCCCCGCCUGGGGAGUACGGUCGCAAGGCUA
rnacentral:rRNA from 1 species